rnacentral:lncRNA from 1 species
AUCCUUUAAGCAAGGGGAAAGGAAAAAACAUUCCUCCAUGAAUUCCAUCCCUGAACCCCUCAUGAUGAACAAAUUCUGGAAUGUGAUUGAAGCGUUCCUGGGAUCCGGUGCUGAGCUGCUGACAUUUUGUUUUUCAAAGGAAGAAAAAAAAGUUGUGCAUUCAAUAUUUGUUUUCUUUUCAUGGAAUCUGCAGGCGUCGAAGGAUGAAAUGAAGAUGGCAUAUGGAAAGGCGAUUCUUAUACUCAGAAGGAAAAGUUCCCAUGGAAGCCAUGGAUUCAUUCAUGACAAAGAUCCCAGCCAUGUUGCCCUCAGUAGCCCUCCCUCCUUGGACUGUGACAGUUUCUCCAUCUUCUUUUGUUUACAUGACCUUGAUCGCUUUGAGGAGUACAGGACCUGCGUUCUAGCUCCCUUGUCGCCCUGAGAAAAGACCAGUGAGUCCUGAUGGAUACCAGUAACAUUGACAGCCGCAAAGGAGUUAAUGUUUGUAUAUACGGCUUGUACUGUAGUCUUAUAGUGAACAAAACUCACUGUUACAUAGUUGCCUAUGUGAGUUCCACUUCCCCUGAUCCGUGGUCUGAAGCUCUACCACUUUUUUUCUCAUUCUCACCCAAGAGGGGCAGCUGAAAUGAAACCCACCGUCAUCAACCAGGAACUGAACUCUCAAAAGAAAUGAAGAAUCCAGGGGCAACGGCAGUCUCGCUAUUCAUUAAUGGGUUUAUUGAGAACUCUCUUGACAUUGAGCUGUAACUACAACAUUUAAGAAAAUCUCAAAUUUGAAAAUAAAUAAGUUGGCUGACAUACAGACAUUUUAC